CACAGAGGCCCCAAGCGUUACUGAGAAUCACUGGGUUUAAAGGGUGCGUAGGUGGCGCGUUAAGUCCGUUGUGAAAUCCCUUGGCUCAACCAAGGAAAUGCUUCGGAUACUGGCGUGCUUGAGGCUAGUAGGGGUCACUGGAACUGACGGUGGAGCGGUGAAAUGCGUAGAUAUCGUCAGGAACGCCGAUGGUGAAGACAGGUGACUGGGCUAGUUCUGACACUGAGGCACGAAAGCGUGGGGAGCGAACGGG
rnacentral:rRNA from 1 species